rnacentral:rRNA from 1 species
AAGUUGACGGGGGCCCGCACAAGCGGUGGAGCAUGUGGUUUAAUUCGACGCAACGCGAAGAACCUUACCAGGGCUUGACAUCCCCUGACCGCGUAUGAAAGUACGUUUUCACCCUCGGGUGACAGGGAGACAGGUGGUGCAUGGUUGUCGUCAGCUCGUGUCGUGAGAUGUUGGGUUAAGUCCCGCAACGAGCGCAACCCCUACGUUUAGUUGCUAACGCGUGAAGGCGAGCACUCUAGACGAACUGCCGUUGACAAAACGGAGGAAGGUGGGGAUGACGUCAAAUCAUCAUGCCCCUUAUGUUCUGGGCUACACACGUGCUACAAUGGCCGGUACAGACGGACGCAAAGCCGCGAGGUGGAGCAAAUCCUAAAAAGCCGGUCUCAGUUCGGAUUGUAGGCUGCAACUCGCCUACAUGAAGUCGGAAUCGCUAGUAAUCGCGGAUCAGCACGCCGCGGUGAAUACGUUCCCGGGCCUU